UACGUAGGGGGCGAGCGUUGUCCGAAGUUACUGGGCGUAAAGCGCGCGUAGGCGGUUUUCUAAGUCCGGCGUGAAAGGUUCAGGGCUCAACCCGAACAGUGCGCUGGAGACUGGAGAGCUUGAGGACGGGAGAGGGAAGCGGAAUUCCGGGUGUAGCGGUGAAAUGCGUAGAUAUCAGGAAGAACACCCGUGGCGAAGGCGGCUCUCUGGGACGGUACUGACGCUGAGACGCGAAAGCGUGGGGAGCGAACAGG
rnacentral:rRNA from 1 species